GAUGAACGCUGGCGGCGUGCCUAAUACAUGCAAGUCGAGCGAACAGACGAGGAGCUUGCUCCUCUGACGUUAGCGGCGGACGGGUGAGUAACACGUGGAUAACCUACCUAUAAGACUGGGAUAACUUCGGGAAACCGGAGCUAAUACCGGAUAAUAUAUUGAACCGCAUGGUUCAAUAGUGAAAGACGGUUUUGCUGUCACUUAUAGAUGGAUCCGCGCCGCAUUAGCUAGUUGGUAAGGUAACGGCUUACCAAGGCAACGAUGCGUAGCCGACCUGAGAGGAUGAUCGGCCACACUGGAACUGAGACACGGUCCAGACUCCUACGGGAGGCAGCAGUAGGGAAUCUUCCGCAAUGGGCGAAAGCCUGACGGAGCAACGCCGCGUGAGUGAUGAAGGUCUUCGGAUCGUAAAGCUCUGUUAUUAGGGAAGAACAAAUGUGUAAGUAACUAUGCACGUCUUGACGGUACCUAAUCAGAAAGCCACGGCUAACUACGUG
rnacentral:rRNA from 1 species